GCGGUAUGCCUAAUACAUGCAAGUCGUGCGGAAAGGCCCUUCGGGGUACUCGAGCGGCGGACGGCAGAGUAACGCGUAGGAACAUACCCCAAAGUGAGGGAUAACUGCUCGAAAGAGUAGCUAAUACCGCAUGUGAUCUUCGGAUUAAAGCCUUGUGCGCUUUGGGAAUGGCCUGCGUUCGAUUAGCUAGUUGGUGAGGUAAUUGCUCACCAAGGCGACGAUCGAUAGCUGGUCUGAGAGGAUGAUCAGCCUGACUGGAACUGAGACACGGCCCAGACUCCUACGGGAGGCAGCAGUGGGGAAUAUUGGACAAUGGGCGCAAGCCUGAUCCAGCCAUGCCGCGUGAGUGAUGAAGGCCCUAGGGUUGUAAAGCUCUUUCACCGGUGAAGAUAAUGACGGUAACCGGAGAAGAAGCCCCGGCUAACUUCGUGCCAGCCGCCGCCGUAA
rnacentral:rRNA from 1 species